AAAGCGAGCGGCGGAUGGGUGAGUAACACGUGGGGAACCUGCCCCUAAGUCUGGGAUACCAUUUGGAAACAGGUGCUAAUACCGGAUAAUAAAGCAGAUCGCAUGAUCAGCUUUUGAAAGGCGGCGUAAGCUGUCGCUAAGGGAUGGCCCCGCGGUGCAUUAGCUAGUUGGUAAGGUAACGGCUUACCAAGGCGACGAUGCAUAGCCGAGUUGAGAGACUGAUCGGCCACAUUGGGACUGAGACACGGCCCAAACUCCUACGGGAGGCAGCAGUAGGGGAUCUUCCACAAUGGACGCAAGUCUGAUGGAGCAACGCCGCGUGAGUGAAGAAGGUUUUCGGAUCGUAAAGCUCUGUUGUUGGUGAAGAAGGAUAGAGGUAGUAACUGGCCUUUAUUUGACGGUAAUCAACCAGAAAGUCACGGCUAACUACGUGCCAGCAGCCGCGGUAAUACGUAGGUGGCAAGCGUUGUCCGGAUUUAUUGGGCGUAAAGCGAGCGCAGGCGGAAAAAUAAGUCUAAUGUGAAAGCCCUCGGCUUAACCGAGGAACUGCAUCGGAAACUGUUUUUCUUGAGUGCAGAAGAGGAGAGUGGAACUCCAUGUGUAGCGGUGGAAUGCGUAGAUAUAUGGAAGAACACCAGUGGCGAAGGCGGCUCUCUGGUCUGCAACUGACGCUGAGGCUCGAAAGCAUGGGUAGCGAACAGGAUUAGAUACCCUGGUAGUCCAUGCCGUAAACGAUGAGUGCUAAGUGUUGGGAGGUUUCCGCCUCUCAGUGCUGCAGCUAACGCAUUAAGCACUCCGCCUGGGGAGUACGACCGCAAAGGUUGAAACUCAAAGGAAUUGACGGGGGGCCCCGCACAAGCGGUGGAGCAUGUGGUUUAAUUC
rnacentral:rRNA from 1 species